AACGAACGCUAUCGGUAUGCUUAACACAUGCAAGUCGGACGAACUAAUUAGGGCUUGCUCCAAUUAGUUAGUGGCAGACGGGUGAGUAACACGCGGGAAUCUGCCCAUCAGUACGGAAUAACUUUUAGAAAUAAAAGCUAAUACCGUAUAUUCUCUACAGAGGAAAGAUUUAUCGCUGAUGGAUGAGCCCGCGUCAGAUUAGGUAGUUGGUGAGGUAACGGCUCACCAAGCCGACGAUCUGUAGCUGGUCUGAGAGGAUGAUCAGCCACACUGGGACUGAGACACGGCCCAGACUCCUACGGGAGGCAGCAGUGGGGAAUAUUGGACAAUGGGCGAAAGCCUGAUCCAGCAAUACCGAGUGAGUGAUAAAGGCCCUAGGGUUGUAAAGCUCUUUUAGCAAGGAAGAUAAUGACGUUACUUGCAGAAAAAGCCCCGGCUAACUCCGUG
rnacentral:rRNA from 1 species